GUCUGUAUGGUGUAGUGGUAACAUGCACCCUAUUUAAGGAGGUUCCGUGGGUUUGAAUCCCACUGUGGACA